rnacentral:rRNA from 1 species
GAGUUUGAUCGUGGCUCAGGACGAACGCUGGCGGCGUGCCUAACACAUGCAAGUCGAGCGGAGACAGUGAGUAGCUUGCUAUGAGCUGUUUUAGCGGCGGACGGGUGAGUAACGCGUGAGCAACCUUUCCCAGACAGGGGAAUAACACACCGAAAGGUGUACUAAUACCGCAUAAGACCACGGGAUCACAUGGUUCUGGGGUAAAAGAUUUAUCGGUUUGGGGUGGGCUCGCGUCCGAUUAGGUAGUUGGUGAGGUAACGGCCCACCAAGCCGACGAUCGGUAGCCGACCUGAGAGGGUGAUCGGCCACAUUGGGACUGAGACACGGCCCAAACUCCUACGGGAGGCAGCAGUGGGGAAUAUUGGGCAAUGGGGGAACCCUGACCCAGCAACGCCGCGUGGAGGAAGAAGGUUUCGGAUCGUAAACUCCUGUCCUUGGAGACGAGUAGAAGACGGUAUCCAAGGAGGAAGCCCCGGCUAACUACGUGCCAGCAGCCGCGGU